rnacentral:rRNA from 1 species
UACGGGGGGGGCAAGCGUUGUUCGGAAUUACUGGGCGUAAAGGGCUCGUAGGCGGCCAACUAAGUCAGACGUGAAAUCCCUCGGCUUAACCGGGGAACUGCGUCUGAUACUGGAUGGCUUGAGGUUGGGAGAGGGAUGCGGAAUUCCGGGUGUAGUGGUGGAAUGCGUAGAGAUCCGGAGGAACACCAGCGGCGAAGGCGGCAUCCUGGACUGGUACUGACGCUCAGGAGCGAAAGCGUGGGGAGCGAUCCGG